UACGUAGGGUGCGAGCGUUAUCCGGAAUUACUGGGCGUAAAGGGUCUGUAGGUGGCUCGCUAAGUCAGACGUGAAAUCCCUCAGCUUAACUGGGGAACUGCGUCUGAUACUGACGAGCUUGAGUGCAGGAGAGGAACGCGGAAUUCCAGGUGUAGCGGUGAAAUGCGUAGAUAUCUGGAGGAACACCGGUGGCGAAGGCGGCGUUCUGGACUGCAACUGACACUGAGAGACGAAAGCCAGGGGAGCAAACGGG
rnacentral:rRNA from 1 species